UGUUAAAAAUUUCCUCCAUUUGUAAAGUUAAAACCUGACAUAGUUGAUGGAAUAAUCAGGAAGUGAUACGUGAUGUGCCACGUGUACCUCACACUGACGUACAAGAACCAAUUUUUAAUAGUAGAAAUGGAUGUAAUUUUCAAUA
rfam:Gossypium raimondii Chr04_contig_1194, whole genome shotgun sequence.